rnacentral:lncRNA from 1 species
UGGCCUUGAAUGGUGCAUUUUGAACACACCAAUAGUCUGGAGUUCAAAUAAGUUCAAAAAAAUGAAAUCCCUUUUGUAAUAGAUGAGUUUUCAUAAGAAACCAUGAUACUUCGAAAGAGAUUGUCCGAUUUGUACACGAAGUGCGUCCAAUUUUUGCCGCAACCCUCUCAACUUUUUAGCACAUGCUAUGUGCGUGGAAUGAUGAUACCAUGCAAACUUUCAACCUAUUCAAUGUUCAUUUGUAGUGCUUUUCAAUUUCUGGGUGAUUUAGCUCAAAAAA